CUGGAGCCUAUCCCAAGGGGCAUCGGGAACAAGGCAGGGUACACCCUGGACAGGGUGCCAGUCCAUCACAGGGCACAAUCACAUACACACUCACACACCCAUUCAUACCAUUUACAUAAUUUGAAUUAUGUAAAACAUGAAGGCUGAUUGAAAUGCCAUUUGAAAUAUUCAUCAACAUACAUCAAAAUAUUCUGCACAUCCUCUUUGAUCAUAUGCCCUUCACCCUCGCUGUGCUGCUCCUCCCUUUAAUACAUAAUAGGACAUUGUAGCUGAGAAGAGGUAACUACCAGGCUACACUUAUGGCUGUGUUAAUGAGUAGUAUAUGAAUUUGUAUUUAGUUGAAUAAUGCCAUCCCAUUUUCCACAUCUAAUUUACUUGGCACAGAUUUGAUUGAUGACGUUAGCUUGGUAACUGCUAAAAGAACGCUUGCUUAUCUCUUCUACUUUGGGAUUCUGCCACAAACGAUGUGAUUUAGUCAUCAUCACCGAAAGCUUUUUGUACUGAUUUUAGAUUGUUCAGGUCCAAGAGGUGUGUGUGAUUAGUGAUGGAGAUAAACUCCGCAGGACAGUGCAGUGGCCCUCCAGAAAUAUGAAAUUACCCAUCUCUGGUUUAUAAGCUAAUUUUGGUUUCAGUGGUCUCUUCCAGUAUAUUGCCUGGUAUUUGUAUAAACACAACAUAAUGAAUUUAUUUUUGGGACUCUGAUGGACUAGGAGUGGAGAGGGUGGAUUUUAAAUGUAAUGAAAAUGUAUUAUGGAAUUUCAGGUGGCGGGUGGAGACUCCUUCCAUAAAUGUUAACUAAAUAUAGCCUUACAGAAAAUGUCACAGUGUCAACAAUUACUCACAUAUUUAAAAUCCAUUGUGGAUUUAAAUGGAGCAUUGCCAAACAAGUUUCUGCACAAGCUGUUACAAAAGAAACAAUACUGCAUUUGAUUGAGCUGAUUAAUAAAAAACCUAAAAUGAAUCAACAAAUCAAAAUUGAGGAUUCAGUGCAGUGGUAUGAUGUCAUUCAACUGUGUGAGUCUUUAUAUUAUUGAAAAUAUUAGCUGGAUUUUUUUUAUUUAUUUUAAUAAUAAUAAUAAUAAAUAUAAAAAAAACAUGUUCUCCAUGAGAUGAAUCUCCUCAUCAUGAUUUAAAUACAUUUUAAAUACGUUCUCCUCCAAUCAUCACCAGAUAUGCAAAUACAAGCGUCAGGGUUGGAUAUCACUCUAUUUAUGAGAUGUGAUGGUCUCUGUUAAACUUUGGAGAACAGAGAAGACCCCAGUACAAACAACACACACCAUGUUCUCUACAUCUCUACUGCUCAUGCUGGCAGCUGCUUCCUAUGUGCAUGGUGUUGAACUGACUCAGCCUGCUUCCAUGACAGUCCAGCCAGGCCAGAGUCUCUCCAUCAACUGCAAGGUUUCAUAUUCAGUUACCAGCUAUACUACAGCUUGGAUCCGACAACCUGCAGGAAAAGCUCUGGAGUGGAUUGGAUACAUUAAUAGUGGUGGUAAUACAUAUUACAGUGACAAACUGAAAAAUAAGUUCAGCAUCUCCAGAGACACUGCUACUAACACAAUAACAAUUGGAGGACAGAAUCUGCAAACUGAAGACACAGCUGUGUAUUACUGCGCAAGAUACACAGUGACACAGAAAAGUGGAUUCCCCUUACAAAAACUUUGAGACAUGUUAGAGAACCUCUCAGUGUGACUAAUAAACCAUCUCAUUCAAACUUUUACACUGUUCCACUGGAAUGAAGUUGUAAUUGCUUGUCAUUUUUAAACAGUCAUUUUUAAAUCAAAUAAACAUUCUUCAAAGA